rnacentral:lncRNA from 1 species
CAUUUCGCAGUGCUCAGAAUGCUGGUUCCCACUGGACUCAACUUGCUGGGAUGUCUGCAAACUCAAAGGUUUCUUUCAAGGGAAUGGAAUUACUCCUCCAGUUCCUCAGCUGUCUCUGCUGCACAAUAUCUGAAUGUGACAUUUUACAAAAAAUCUGAUGUAACGGUGCAAUUCUUGGAUCUCACAAGGGUGUACUCUGUAGGGAAUCUCUAUUCUCACCAACUUCAUUUAGACCUCGUGAUGAUAAGAAGUUGUUUACAGCUACAGCCCGAAUGCUGUGGUGGUUGUAGUACAAUUCUCUCACAGCACAACUUGUUUAUUAUAAAAGAAAAAAGUUGCAGUCAUAUUUGCAGGAAAAAUUUAGGAACAGGAUUCAGAGACCUCUUACCCAAGUCUACAGGGCAUGCUAGAAGUGCUCUGAGAGGUGUGAGCUGAUCUGUGCAUCUCACUGGGGUGUUAGAAAUCUUGUAGUUUCAGUGUUAAUGGUUGUGUUUGUUUCAUCUGAAAGCUAAGAAAAGAAAGAGUGGACCACUUAUCUGCCCAGUCAGCUGUAGGUAAUGUCUUUAAGCGAUGACCAAGUUCCUCACUUUUGCCAGAAUGCCGUUUAUUCCUACUUCAUCCUCCAGUUGAGGAGUAGCUAGACUCUGAAAACCCAAGCGCAGGUUACAGGUGCCCUUGAAAUCCUGCCCAGAGCUAGUGUGAGUAUGGAAAGCCAUAAAGUACACACUGUGGUAGUGUGAGCUUUUUAAUGAUUUAAGAAGAGAGCUCUACUGGUAAAAACUCACUGCUUCAGUUUUUAAAAAAGCAACAGUAAUAAUAAUGAAAAAAAACCAAAAACAACCCAGCCAAAUAACCAACAGUAUAAUCCCUGGAAUACAUCCAAUUUUUAUCCUCGAAAAGUACCUCAAAGUAGUAUGACUUCCUCUCUUCAGUGUGGGAUUAUUUGUGCUGAUCUAAAACAUUUCAUGCUGGCACAACUGCAUCCCAUUGUCUAAUUUUUGUGGCUAAGCAGAGCCAGGUGAAGUAACUUAGUUUUAAAAGAAUUAGAAACCCUAAUUCCUUUAAAUCAAAUUCCAAAGACAUCCAGAUGUCCAGGAUACUGAGAAAAGAGGCACAAAAAUCUGAAAAGGGAAGGUGAGUGUUUGCUGCUCUUGGUUCAUGGCUUUGGAGGGUUAGGGGUGACGCAGUGUUGUGACAAAAAAAAUCAGUGAAAAGUAUUAGUGGAAGUUUCCACCAUCUUUAAUUGCAAGAAGCCAAUGCUGACUGAGUAUUAAUGUUUCAUGGGGAAGUAAAGGCUGAAGGGGAAAGGUGGGUGAAAUUUCUUCAAAACAUUGUAACUCCUUCUGUGUAUUUUGUGGUUGAAGGACAGAGAGAUAGGAGAUGCUGGAAAGAAUUCUUCAGCAGUAUUUUAUAGGUACUAUUUAAGCUAACUUUG